CUGUUUUACAUAUGGGUUAGACACGGCUAGAGGUCAAGGUCAAGUUGAAAGUUAUAGUCUAGCCAAUGUG
rnacentral:sRNA from 1 species